GGACCUGUGGCCCAGCGGAUAAGGCGCCUGACUACGAAUCAGGAGAUCAGGCGUUCAAAUCGCCUCUGGUCCU